rnacentral:misc_RNA from 1 species
AUUGAAGAAGAGAGGUGGAAGUUGGUAAUACUUCAGCACUGAGUUCAGUGGUCCGUUGCUUUAACAUUUCAUUUCAGCUUGUUGGUCAUACCCUUUUACUUCACGAUGCCGUUAGCUUUCUCUUUCAUCGUGGUUACAUUUAUUUUCAAGAUUUCACAAAACUUUGUUGAGUCCCCAGUCCCUGCCACCUUCUCUCGUGCUUGAUUUCAUAGACUUGUUAAAUAUUCUGCUCAUUAAUUUGACCACAUCUUAGGAUUUUACCCAAAUGUCUAAAGUUUAUUUUAGUCAUGUGAAUCAUUUUAUCUUGAUAACUUAAUUUUUCUGGCUUAUGUGGUCUUUUAAGCCAGAUCUAUAAAGUCUACUUAUAGGUUUUGAUUUAUGUUAAGUGCUGACUCAUAAUAUACUGCAAAACACUUUUCACCAAGUUUGCUGGCUGAUAGACUGAUAGGCAGCAACAAAGGUUGAUGUGGAUGAAGACUAGUGUUAUACUAGAAUUUUAGGUCUCAUAAUUCAGAAAAGUACACUUUUGAUGGAAUAUUUUUUUAUAGUACUUGUCGUUGUUGAUAUAAUGGUAGUAACAUUUAUUUGAAAAAUUGUUGUUUAAACUGUGAUCUUAGGAUUGUUAUUUUCGUUGUCAUUCAGACUUCUACAUUAUCUCAAUUACCCAUGUGUAGUACUUUUUAAUCAUUUUCUUUGAGAUACAUUUGCA